rnacentral:lncRNA from 1 species
UAUGCAUUCAAAGAUAUGGUGUGAUGGAAUGAAAAUGAAAUUUUUGAAACUAAACUGGACCUAAUUGGGACGAGUCGUCACGUCCAACCUAGAGACCGACCAUUAGUACGUACAGUACAGUAGUACGUGUACUAGUCUACUAGUCUGAAACCCUAACAGAAAAAAAAGAAAAUGCAUAUACUAGGUCUUGUUUUGUUCACCUCGAAAUCCAAAAAGUUUUCAAGAUUCUCCGUCACAUCGAAUCUUGCGGCACAUGCAUAAAGCAUUAAAUAUAAACAAAAACAAAAACAAAAACUAAUUAUACAGUUUGUUUGUAAAUCGCGAGGCGAAUUUUUUGAUCCUAGUUAGUUCAUGAUUGAACAAUAUUUGUCAAAUAAAAACGAAAGUGCUACAGUAGCGAAAUCAAAAAAAUUUCGAAACUAAACAAGCCUAGUCUGAAACGUACGUUAAAGGAUUUCAGUGUCCUAACCCUUUUUCGCUAUUGCUUCGUCAAAAAGGAUUAAAGAUUAGUCAAACAACGAAGGAAAAUGCCGUACAGGGCGCAGGUGUCCGGC